ensembl:lncRNA
CCUAACACAAAACCGCAUAGGUCCGGAUAGAUUUGAAACCACCUCCGAGGGUGGUUUCAGAAAUGUGCGGUUUCCGGCACCGUCUGGACGGUCGGCCGAACGGACAAGACUUAUGCGGUUUCACCAAAAAAUCGGCUUUGUGUGGACGGGGCCUUAGAAGGCGAACACACGUUCACCAAGACGGGGAGACAGCGCCGGGCGAUUUACGCCACUAUCUGCCAAUGGAUCGUGCGUGGAUGCCUGGGCUGAUAUAUCAGUCUCAACUGUGGUCCAAGCUUUCACAAAGGCAGGAAUAAUCACUGAACUGCAAGGCAACAGCAACAACACUGACUCAGAUAAUGACGAGAGGGAGCCGGGCAUGUUGGAUGCCGUACUCGCCCAACUGUUCAAUUCGGACACUGAAGAAGAGGAAUUCGAGGGAUUCGUGGACGGGGAAUGAACUAAAAAAAAGCUUUCUCAUUCCACUCAUUCAUUUGAUGAGAAGUGGCUGAAGGGAAGGAAAUUCUCGGGAUGGAUAAUACUUCUGCCAGCGCCAGCUACAUUCUCAUUGGCUUUGGUGAUCGUCUCGUUAGAUAUCCAGGGAUCCCAACCAAAUGGAUGGUGCUGUGUGUGUGUGUGUGUUAUUGUUUGUGACCAGACUUAGGUUAUGUCCGUGUGUUUUGUUUAUCCCUGUCUGUGUGUCACCACCCGGUGAUCCUCCAGAGGCCAAUCACCAACCUCUGCUCGGACGUCUUAAGAAGAGCAGUCCCUGGGGUCGUGAACCUAGGCUCUCACGGAUCAAGGAGCUCUGCAGCCUUGACCCCGGGCGUUCCUCUCCGCGCAGGUUCACCC